rnacentral:tRNA from 1 species
GUGCUCGUAGCUCAGUUGGCUAGAGCUCCUGACUUUUAAUCAGGAAGUCGCGGGUUCGAGUCCCGCCGGGCACA